rnacentral:rRNA from 1 species
GAUGAACGCUGGCGGCGUGCCUAAUACAUGCAAGUCGAGCGAACAGACGAGGAGCUUGCUCCUCUGACGUUAGCGGCGGACGGGUGAGUAACACGUGGAUAACCUACCUAUAAGACUGGGAUAACUUCGGGAAACCGGAGCUAAUACCGGAUAAUAUAUUGAACCGCAUGGUUCAAUAGUGAAAGACGGUUUUGCUGUCACUUAUAGAUGGAUCCGCGCCGCAUUAGCUAGUUGGUAAGGUAACGGCUUACCAAGGCAACGAUGCGUAGCCGACCUGAGAGGGUGAUCGGCCACACUGGAACUGAGACACGGUCCAGACUCCUACGGGAGGCAGCAGUAGGGAAUCUUCCGCAAUGGGCGAAAGCCUGACGGAGCAACGCCGCGUGAGUGAUGAAGGUCUUCGGAUCGUAAAACUCUUUUAUUAGGGAAGAACAAAUGUGUAAUUAACUAUGCACGUCUUGACGGUACCUAAUCAGAAAGCCACGGCUAACUACGUG